UUAGCUAGUUGGUGAGAUAAAAGCCCACCAAGGCAACGAUCAGUAACCGGCUUGAGAGAGUGAACGGUCACAUUGGAACUGAGACACGGUCCAAACUCCUACGGGAGGCAGCAGUGGGGAAUCUUGCACAAUGGAGGCAACUCUGAUGCAGCGACGCCGCGUGAGCGAUGAAGGAAUUCGUUUCGUAAAGCUCUGUCCUAGGGGAAGAUAAUGACAGUACCCUUGGAGGAAGCCCCGGCUAAAUACGUGCCAGCAGCCGCGGUAAUACGUAUGGGGCGAGCGUUGUCCGGAAUUAUUGGGCGUAAAGGGUACGUAGGCGGUUUCAUAAGUCAGAUGUGAAAGCUUGGGGCUCAACCCCAUAAAGCAUUUGAAACUGUGGAACUUGAGUAGUGGAGAGGAAAGUGGAAUUCCUAGUGUAGCGGUGAAAUGCGUAGAUAUUAGGAGGAAUACCAGUGGCGAAGGCGACUUUCUGGACACAAACUGACGCUGAGGUACGAAAGCAUGGGGAGCAAACAGGAUUAGAUACCCUGGUAGUCCAUGCCGUAAACGAUGAAUGCUAGGUGUCGGGGGUCAAACCUCGGUGCCGUCGUUAAC
rnacentral:rRNA from 1 species